CAGCCAGCGUGUCGCAACAAAGCAAAAAUUCCCCGGCGUGUCACCAUCCUGCUCCGUCACCCCACAGCCCAAACCACGGUGCGGGGAAAAAUCCCAACGGCAGCCCUCUCGGACGAAAUAGAUUAUCUCAUCCCGCCGCCCUCCUCCCCGUCCGUCCAGCCCCCAGCGGUCAGACGCCCGACGCGGUGCCGUGGCCGGAUGAAAUAGGGCUAUUAGAUGAGUUAUCACAGCCUGAAAGGAUGAAAUAACUUCUGCCUCUUUGUCCAAAUAAACCUCCCUAUUCCUCUUCCAUGCAACGAACGAACAAGAGUUCCCGCAGGAAAAUAGCCAGGAAAACGUUAGAAGCUGUUAUUGAAGACCCGACCCCUUCGCCAACCGGCCUCCUGGUUGGUGCUCCGAGGGCGCUGGGCUUUCUCCGCCGGGAAUUUGGGAGCCCAAGGCUCAGCGCCCAGCACCCAGAGUUAAAUCCUGGCCCGGCCGCUGCUCGGACGGCGUUUUAUUGAGCGCUCCAUGGCACGGCCUCCCAGACGCCCGACGCGUGGCUGAGUUUGAGGACGACGUGCAUCCAGAAAACCGCUUUUUUUAUCCCCGUCGGGCACUGAGUGCAAGGAAAAACGUCACGCUCCGGCUCAGAAGGAGCUUUCUCAAGCUGCCCCUGCGGUUCCCACGCGGUGCGUGCAAUCUCCCCAGAUUCGCAGGCGAAAGCGCCGGCACAGCCCCCGGCAGCAUCCAGGCCCCACGCAGGGGAUGCUCGGGAGCCAGCGGGGCAGCCCGUAGGCCCUGGGCUGGCCCAAAUGUCUCCUCCGGGCCACCCUUUUGGGGACUUAUUUAUCCUACUUUGGGUCAUUUUUGUCUCUUUUUUUCGCUCCUGGGAAGACCCCAGUGAUGGUGGGGGUGAAGCGGUGGGAUAGCUCUGCGCUUCCCUGCGGUCCUAAACGCAGAAUCCGCCGGCGUUGUCAUGAAAAACAGCUUGCUUGGUUUUAAUUUAUUCGCUUUGAUGUUCGGAGGAAGGGUCAGCUCUCCUCCCUCUGAGCAUCGGCAGCUCCGGUUUGGUGGUUUUCCAAGCCCCGGCGGAGAAAGGAUGCGCUCGGGCGUUUGAGCCGAACAGGAACGACCAAAAGGAACCAGCUUUGAAAGCGGCAAAGCCCAGAGAUCGAUCCGUUCUUUUCCCAAAUAAGACGGUUCACGCUCACCGUUCCUUGCGAUGUUGGAAAUGGUUUGGGUCUGCAGCCGACGGGAGCAGAACGGGAACGUGUCGGGAGCUAGAGCGGGUGGGAGGAAAAAAAGAAAAGUUAAAAUACAGUUAAAAAAGGAGAAAAGAUGCUGAUUUGGUGCCUUUUUCCACCUGGGCAUCUUUUCAAGCUAUUUCAAGAGAUCUCCCCUGCUGCCCCUGAAGCGGGGAUGGUACCGAAAGCGCAGCUGCUCCAACGCUGUAUUGCCCACGGAAAUAAAGGUAUAAAAAACGACUUCGUCCCGCUGCCAGGCGCGUGAGCACGUGGCAGCCUGCAGCGGGCCCGGGGCGAGGAAAGGAGAGGCGACGCUCGGAUGAGGCGGGCAGAGGGCUGCGAAGUCACCCAGCGGUGACGCCUUUGGGUGCCGGCACGUCCCAAAACGCAGCAUCUCCCCCCCCACACCCCAUCCUCCUCCAGCCGGCGGGGUGACGGCCGAUGGGCAUCGCACCUCGAUU